AAAGUAUUCAAGUAUGAUUGACGUCCCUUUAAUCUCAGAUGGGCUGAUAAUAGGAUUGGAUAAUUCUGUUAUUCACCACAUCCCCUUAUCUUGUCUUUCUGCCCAUUUAAGCUACUCUCCCAGUGUUGGCUGAGACCCUGUGGGUUCCUUGGGCUGGGAGGCAGAAGCCCGGAGCUCAGAGGAUGAGGUUGGUGAGCCAGACCCGGCACACGGAGGGCUUGAUGAAUCGUUCAUGCGCGUGUUGAGUGUAUACCGCCCUCGUAUCGUUUUCUGCCAAUCGGGACCGGACCGGGAGCGGAUUCUGCCCGAAAGGGGGCGCGAUCUGGCGGGUGCUCCUCUUCCUCGCUCCCCAGUCCGCGCCUCGCUGGGCUCAGCACCCCGGCCCCCGGCGGGACGGAGGCUCGGGUCCAAAGCAGUGGCUGCACCGACACGAACCCGUCUGCGUUUCUCCACCUGUCUUCCCUCGCCACCUGCAUCUACUAUGGUCUCUAAAUGCCUCGCUUUGUACUUUGUGGCUUUCUGGCAGCCCUUUAAAGCAGCGGUGAAAGAAAGGAGAGAGUCAAGACACGGGAGAAAAUGUUUCAUCCCGGGUUCUUCUAGUGGUGCCCGCCUUGACACGACUCGGGGGACUGCCUAAGCAAAAGGUGGAAAAGAUGGAGCUGGAAGACAAAGACGGCUCCGGAUUCCAAAACUUCAAUGGCGUCGCCAAAUUGACGAGCUCAUUAACCUUUGGAGUAUUGUUAUUUAAAAAGUAGGAAAUAAAAGAUAAAUGUGGAAAUAUUUAAUAAAAGAAAAACGUAAGCUCUCAAUUUUCUUUAUUACUUUUUUUUUUUUGAGACGGAGUCUCUCGCUCUGUCGCCCAGUGGCACGAUCUUGGCUCACUGCAAGCUCCGCCUCCCGGGUUUACGCCAUUCUUCUGCCUCAGCCUCCCGAGUAGCCGGGACUACAGGCGCCCGUCACCACGCCCGGCUAAUUUUUUCUAUUUUUUUGGUAGAGACAGGGUUUCACCGUGUUAGCCAGGAUGGUCGCGAUCUCCUGACCUCGUGAUCCUCCCGCCUCGGCCUCCCACAGUGCUGGGAUUACAGGAGUAAGCCACCACCGCUCCCAGCCGAUUUCCUUUAUUUUUUUUCUGGUCCUUGUUUAGCCAUGAUCCAUCGCAGGCUGAGCCCUGACAAACGCAAAGCCUUCCAAACUGGGAAAUUGAGAAAGUUAUUUUCAUCAAUGAAUGUAGAGGCGUCACACUUCUGCCGAAAUAGCUCCACUGGGAAGCAUGCUCUGCUGAAGAUCUCAAAGUUCACGGACUGAUUUCCAGUUUUAUUCUGUCUUCACUCCUGCCGGAUAAUUUGACUUCCCUUAGAUGACGUUACAGAAGUAAUUUUACCUAAGACAGGUGCGCCCUCUAUCGUAAGGAUAUCUUUCAGACUCUUGGUCCACACAAGAGUUGGUGGCACCGGAGAGCUUGUUAGAAGAGCGAAAUCUCAGCUUCACCUCAGACGUACUGAACCAGAAGUAGCAAUUUAACAAGAUCCACAAGAGAUUCUUUUGCACAUUUAAGAAGCAAUAUGACGUGCUUUGACGUGGAUGGAGUAAGGGUGUAUAGUAUAAAUACGCGGCUGUGUUUUUUCCCCCAAUUUUCUAUUCUAACAGAAAACAUAAUUGCAAAAAAUAUAUAUUUCUAUUGCUGAAUCAUUUUUGUGUUCUAAUCAUUGACUCUGUUCCUUGCCUCUCUGGCAAUAUUGUACUUAGUAAUAUUUUUUGAAUCACUAUUCAUGAUUGAAUAUGAUGUGAAGUUUUCAUUUUCUUUUUUUUUUUUCUUGAGACGGAGUCUCACUCUGUCGUCCAGGUUGGAGUGCAGUGGCGCGAUCUCGACUCACUGCAACCUCCGCCUCCCGGGUUCAAGCGAUUCUCCUGCCUCAGCAUCCCGAGUAACUGGGACAACAAGCGCGCGCCACCGCGCCCGGCUAAUUUUUUAUAUUUUUUUUAGGGACGGGGUUUCACCAUAUUGGCCAGGCUGGUCUCGAACUCCUGACCUCAUGAUCCGCCCGCCUCGCAAAGUGCUGGGAUUACAGGCAUGAGCCACCACUCCCGGCCUUUAUUUUCUUUUUCG
rnacentral:lncRNA from 1 species